GUACGGUGAUGAAACUCAUGCGUGUCAACUGACUCUGCCAGUCCUCGCUGUGUCGGCGCUCCGGCCGGCGUUUUGCCAGCCGGAGAGGUCGGGACAGCACGGACCCAGAGACGUGAUCAGGACUUGAUUCUGAGUGC